AUAUUUAUUUGUUAAUUGUGUAGCGCUUAAUUUGUCUCGUGUAAACCUUAAUUUUUGUCACUACAACAAAAACGGUCUAUAGCGACGCUUUUAAAUAUAGGUAUAUGUCAAAAAAGUACUGCUAGCUAAAAUUACCGUCACUUUUAAAAAGUGUUGCUAUAUGUGGGGUCGCUAGGUAUAUAGUGACAAUUAAAGAGUGUCGCUAUAACCUAAAAGAGUGCUGCUAAUUUACCAACAUUUAUUUAAGCAUUUAGCAACCGUCGAAACUCUAUCUCGUUGGCUGCGGUGGCGGAGGAGGACGACAGGAAAGGCUCUUCGUCUAGAAUUUCAGUGGAUUGAGUAAAGAGAGAAGAAAAGAUGGUAAUUGAUUUUUCUUUUUCUUUUUUUUUCUAUUUGUAAUCAGGCCAAAUAGACUGGGUGUGGUGGGUUGAGUAGAGUAAUCUUUUAUUUUUGGUUGGAUUGGGUUUUUAUAUUUAGGCAUUAGUAGAUAUAUUUUUAAGUUUUAGCAUAAAUGAGACACUUACUCAAAAGUGUCCCAAACAUAUGUUCCUAUAACCUAAUUCUAUUGUAGUGUGUGUUUCUAAUUGGCAUUAAUCAAAAUUACCAAAUCGUA
rnacentral:lncRNA from 1 species